CGCCCCUGGCGCAAAUCACCACCAUCAUAGCGCACAUCACAGGUUUAUGAAACUCAUGCUCGUUUGGCAAUAGAAGUUGGAGACUUGGCAGAAUAUAAUCAGUGUCAAUCACAGUUGAAAACACUUUAUGCGGAGGGAAUAAGGGGUGCCACAUGGAAUUUUCUGCUUACAAUUUACUGUGUUGUCUUGCACGCCAACAAUAGCAGAGAUCUGGUAUCAGCAAUGUCAAGUUGAAACCAAAAAGGAUGAGGCUGUAAAACAUGCUCUUGCAGUUCGUGCAAUUGUCACUUCAGGAAAUUAUGUCAGGUUCUUUAGACUUUACAAGACUGCACCUAAUCUUAACACCUGUCUUAUGGAUCUUUAUGCUGAGAAGAUGCGGUACACUGCUGUAAGAUGCGUGUCUCGUUCAUGUCUCCCUACAGUCCGUGUUUCAUACAUUGCUCAGGUUCUGGGCUUCACCAAUGCUUCGCCUAUAGAAACAAC